AACCUAGAGACGCUAUCCCACAUAUGGGACUCUCUCAAACAUAGGCUGCCUCUCUCUCAAACCCGCUGUUCCUUCAUCAGAGUCCAGACCGCCUCUCUCAGCCACCACCUACGGCAGACGGCCAGACGCUAUCCCAGUAUCCCGUAGACACGAGGUGAGCUUGCGACGAGUCGGAUCGAAGAUCGAGGUGGAGUAGACGCUAGGCGAUCUGAGGCUGUGAUGUUGACUGUGGGGAGCUUGCGACGGAUCGAAGAUCGAGUAUAAUUCUCAGCCCGUAACCAUACGAAGACGCUGAAGCUCAAGAUUGGCUUACUGGGUCUUGUUGGAUUUGCGCUCCAAUGCUUUGUUGUUCUUGCAUGGCCUCUCUUUGCUCUGGUCUAUCCUCUGUAUUCUUCCAUUAGAGCAAUCGAGACAAAUUCCAUUACAGAUACUCACAAGAUAAAUACGUAUUGAGUCGUCUUCUCAUUGAUCUUGCUAUUUGAACAUGCUUUUAUCAGUUUAUGAAGCUCCUUGAAUGGUUCUUUGCUUGGUGAAGACUUGAUUGUGCAAACAACAAACCUUUGCAACUUUUUGGGAAUUGAUACAAUUUUUGUAUCAAACAUUACAACGUUUUUGGGAAUUGAUGAGGACUUGAUCAGUUCUUGUAUCAAAUCAGUUUUUGUAGCCUUAGUGCCUCAGUGCAAUUAAUCAGUGAGACUGAGGAACUGAGAAUGUGAGUUUGAGACUUUAGUUUAUGUGGGAUUUGUAAUUAUUUGUAUUAACUCAGGUUCUGAAAUAUCAAAGUACUCAGUGAUGUAUUUUUUAUUUAUUUAUUUUAUAAUUAGUAAAAUUUGGUUUUA